UUCUCCAGUCGCGCGAUCCCUCCCUCCUCCCUCUCCUUCCGUCUCCGGCCACCAGACUGACGAUGGUGGGUGGCGAUCGAUUCCUCUCAUGCCACCGGUCACGUUGCCAUCCUCUUUCAUGUCGAUCAGGCCCUCAGCAGCGACGAUGCUAGCUCUUCCCUUGCGACGCGACUGCCUCCUCUGCACCAACGCGAUUCUCCGGUGAGGCUCGACGGUAACGGUGAUCUUCUAUGGCUUAGCUCGAUAGGUAAUGAAUCUUCAACAGUUUUAUUAAUGGUUUGAUCACCGGAUGGAGAUUUGAGAAGAAAUUUAGAUAUAGUUUUCAAUUUGCGUUGAUUUAGGAUUUUUGACAAAUUGGGUGUUGAACGGUGAAACUAAUUUGAGAUUUGGGUUCCUUAUGUAAAAUCGAGUCAGAUGGUGUGAAAGGCACUUGGUUCUAGGCAUCCGCGACUUUCCGACCACCGUGCACGGCGGCGACGGCGGCGGACCGGCGAGACUCCGGCGAGGACUUCAAGAGGCAGAAUGGUCUCCUCUUCGCGCCGAUCACAAAAAUCAAAUCCAAUUUUUGAUCGGUACAUUGUAAGGCCUAGUUGAUUGUUUUCGAUAUUUAUAAAGUGUCGGCAUGUGAAGACAAAGGCUGUAAGCGCACAAUAAGGCAGUCCUUUUAAGGAUAACAAAAACUGUAAUAGAAAAAAGAAGAGUCCUAUGGAAUUGAAACAAUAAUUAUCAAGAGCUGUUAGUGAAUGAAAUAAUGAAGCAAAUGUAAAGGUAGAGUUCCGCAAUUGUAGUCCAGUUGGGUUGUAAAUGAAUAAUAAAAGUCCAU